rfam:Candidatus Altiarchaeum sp. CG2_30_32_3053 cg_3.0_sub100_scaffold_1286_c, whole genome shotgun sequence.
GCCGAGGUGGCAGAGUGGUUUAAUGCGCCAGCCUUGAGAGCUGGUUCCUGCGAAGGUGCUUGAGUUCGAAUCUCAACCUCGGCG